UACGAAGGGGGCUAGCGUUGCUCGGAAUCACUGGGCGUAAAGCGCACGUAGGCGGAUUGUUAAGUCAGGGGUGAAAUCCUGGAGCUCAACUCCAGAACUGCCUUUGAUACUGGCGAUCUUGAGUCCGGGAGAGGUGAGUGGAACUGCGAGUGUAGAGGUGAAAUUCGUAGAUAUUCGGAAGAACACCAGUGGCGAAGGCGGCUCACUGGCCGGUACUGACGCUGAGGUGCGAAAGCGUGGGGAGCAAACAGGG
rnacentral:rRNA from 1 species